rnacentral:rRNA from 1 species
UUAGAGUUUGAUCCUGGCUCAGAUUGAACGCUGGCGGCAGGCCUAACACAUGCAAGUCGAGCGGAUGAGUGGAGCUUGCUCCAUGAUUCAGCGGCGGACGGGUGAGUAAUGCCUAGGAAUCUGCCUGGUAGUGGGGGACAACGUUUCGAAAGGAACGCUAAUACCGCAUACGUCCUACGGGAGAAAGCAGGGGACCUUCGGGCCUUGCGCUAUCAGAUGAGCCUAGGUCGGAUUAGCUAGUAGGUGAGGUAAAGGCUCACCUAGGCGACGAUCCGUAACUGGUCUGAGAGGAUGAUCAGUCACACUGGAACUGAGACACGGUCCAGACUCCUACGGGAGGCAGCAGUGGGGAAUAUUGGACAAUGGGCGAAAGCCUGAUCCAGCCAUGCCGCGUGUGUGAAGAAGGUCUUCGGAUUGUAAAGCACUUUAAGUUGGGAGGAAGGGCAGUAAGUUAAUACCUUGCUGUUUUGACGUUACCAACAGAAUAAGCACCGGCUAACUUCGUGCCAGCAGCCGCGGUAAUACGAAGGGUGCAAGCGUUAAUCGGAAUUACUGGGCGUAAAGCGCGCGUAGGUGGUUCAGCAAGUUGGAGGUGAAAUCCCCGGGCUCAACCUGGGAACUGCCUCCAAAACUACUGAGCUAGAGUACGGUAGAGGGUAGUGGAAUUUCCUGUGUAGCGGUGAAAUGCGUAGAUAUAGGAAGGAACACCAGUGGCGAAGGCGACUACCUGGACUGAUACUGGCACUGAGGUGCGAAAGCGUGGGGAGCAAACAGGAAAGAUACCCUGGUAGUCCACGCCGUAAACGAUGU